rnacentral:rRNA from 1 species
GCGGAAACGAUGAUAGCUUGCUAUCAGGCGUCGAGCGGCGGACGGGUGAGUAAUACUUAGGAAUCUACCUAGUAGUGGGGGAUAGCUCGGGCAAACUCGAAUUAAUACCGCAUACGACCUACGGGCAGAAAGGGGGCAACUUGUUGCUCUCGCUAUUAGAUGAGCCUAAGUCGGAUUAGCUAGAUGGUGGGGUAAAGGCCUACCAUGGCGACGAUCUGUAGCUGGUCUGAGAGGAUGAUCAGCCACACCGGGACUGAGACACGGCCCGGACUCCUACGGGAGGCAGCAUGUGGGGAAUAUUGGACAAUGGGGGCAACCCUGAUCCAGCCAUGCCGCGUGUGUGAAGAAGGCCUUUUGGUUGUAAAGCACUUUAAGCAGUGAAGAAGACUCCAUGGUUAAUACCCAUGGACGAUGACAUUAGCUGCAGAAUAAGCACCGGCUAACUCUGUGCCAGCAGCCGCGGUANUACAGAGGGUGCNAGCGUUAAUCGGAAUUACUGGGCGUAAAGCGAGCGUAGGUGGCUUGAUAAGUCAGAUGUG